CAAGAGCGUAUGUAAAAGUUGUUGCAGUUAAAAAGCUCGUAGUUGAACCUUGGGUUUGGUUGGCCGGUCCGCUUUUUUGCGAGUACUGGAUUCAACCGAGCCUUUCCUUCUGGCUAACCAGUCGUUUCGGCGGCUGGCGAACCAGGAUUUUUACUUUGAGAAAAUUAGAGUGUUCAAAGCAGGCAUUAGCUUGAAUAUAUUAGCAUGGAAUAAUAGAAUAGGACGUUAUGGUUCUAUUUUGUUGGUUUCUAGGACCAUCGUAAUGAUUAAUAGGGACGGUCGGGGGCAUCAGUAUUCAGUUGUCAGAGGUGAAAUUCUUGGAUUUACUGAAGACUAACUGCUGCGAAAGCAUUUGCCAAGGACGUUUUCAUUAA
rnacentral:rRNA from 1 species